rnacentral:antisense_RNA from 1 species
CUUGAUGGAGCCCACCCGGAGCGGGUUGUCCUCGGGGCGUUCCUGGCCGUAGGUGGCGAGCAGCGCCUGUGCCUC